AAAUUGAAGAGUUUGAUCAUGGCUCAGAUUGAACGCUGGCGGCAGGCCUAACACAUGCAAGUCGAGCGGAAACGAGUUGUCUGAACCUUCGGGGAACGAUAACGGCGUCGAGCGGCGGACGGGUGAGUAAUGCCUAGGAAAUUGCCCUGAUGUGGGGGAUAACCAUUGGAAACGAUGGCUAAUACCGCAUAAUACCUUCGGG
rnacentral:rRNA from 1 species